rnacentral:lncRNA from 12 species
GGGGAGGGGAAGGGAAUGGUCUUUGAGGUAGAAAGUAAGUAGCAAUUAGAAGCCACAGAGGAUUCUUGUUCCACGGUAAUUGAUCCAUUAUCAGCCAAUAAAAGAGGACUAAGUGGGAGCUCAUAUUUUUGGAGCAGGAGAGUAAGCUUCAGUGUUAUCUCGAGUUGCAUCGAAGAAAGCUGCUUGAGGGAAUGUGAGAUGACAGAGAAGAUGGCCAGCAUGCCCUGCUAGCGGUAAAAGCAGGAGAGCCAAGUGAGCAGUAUCAAAGUGGGUCAAAUGGAGGAUUAGCAGUGUGAAAGUGAAGGCAGUCAAAGCAGGCAUCAUCCUACUCACAGAAGGAGACAGGAGUGGAGCUGAACAGGUGAAAACAAAAGGCAUGCUGAGAGGAUGAAUUCCCCUCCAAGUAAUGGAGAAAGUGCUCUGUCAGGAGGCAGCUCGCUUAUUACACACAACACACAUCUCUGAGGAAAUCAAAUGUGAAAAGUGCAGUAAAAAGUUCCAUUCUUCAAUGAGACAAACUAAAAUGAAGAGGGAAACAGUGCAGGUCCAGGAGAGCCUCUAGAUUCUGUCUGCACUUUUCUUUUACACUCACCUCUACGGCAUUAUGAUGUUGCUUUACAAUGUUGAGACUGGGGAUAUCUGAAACUGCAAACUAAAG